rfam:Oryza glaberrima chromosome 2 Oglab02_0184_2, whole genome shotgun sequence.
AAUAUUUGACGCCGUUGACUUUUUAUCACAUGUUUGACCGUUCGUCUUAUUCAAAAAAUUUAAGUAAUUAUUAAUUAUUUUUCUAUCAUUUGAUUCAUUGUUAAAUAUAUUUUUAUGUAGGCAUAUAAUUUUACAUAUCUCACAAACGUUUUUAAUAAGACGAACGGUCAAACAUGUGCUAAAAAAUCAACGGUGUCAAACAUU